rnacentral:lncRNA from 1 species
UUUUGGUUUGUUUUAGUGUUUUAAAGUAUAGUUUUGCAUUCUUUGAGUCUAGUUUAGUGUUUUAAAUUUUGUUUUUAUGUUUUUAAGUCAGUUUUCAAGUGUUUAGCAAUCCCUCCUAAUCCCCGACCUAGAACGAUCCCUACUUACAUACUUUACUACAUUUGAUAAAAAGAGGGUUUAAUUUUGUGUGUUAACUUAUUUUUCACAUCAGAGUGGGCCUAAAAAUAAAGUUGUAUAAAAACUUUUUUGAAAACAUUAUAAUUCAUCGCCGUAAAACAAGUAUAGUUUCCAAAAUACACAUACUACGUAUAGUAUGAAAUACUUACCGUAACCUGCAAUAUCUCAUGGCUUUAAUACGUCACAAAUUUGUAUAGGCAUAUAACUUCUAGUAAUCACAAUAUCUCGUAGAAAUAAAUAAAUCACAUCGAGUACGACACAUGUUGGCACACGAGUUCAUGCAGAGGUAUUCUGAUAUGAAUAAGAUUGGAUGUAAUAAUGAUUUACGCUCUAGUACUACAAUCACAUAAAGACUGGCGCUAUGCGUAUCACAUACGAGUCCUAAUUGCCUGUAACAAUGUAGGAUAGGAUUGGCACCUACAAUGGAUCCAAAGUGAGUGUACGAUGUGAUGUGAACAUACACGUGAAGACUGGCCUUAACCCUGGCUCGGGCGAGUACUAACACUGGUGAGGCAAACGAUAAGCAUAUAACGCAAAUAUGAUCAUGCAAUGGUAAAUCGAUAACUCGAUAAUUCAAUAACCCUAGUCAAUGAAAUAUUAUUCAUAACCAUAAAUACCAUUAAACCAUCCAUACUAAUACGCAUACAUGUGCAUCCCGUAGAACGUAGCAUAACUUGAUAAUUUCUAUCAAUGCGCUAAAUCUUAUAAAUGUCAUGCUAAUCUAGGUGUAUUAUAGAGAGCUCUUUAUGAAAUGUAU